rnacentral:rRNA from 1 species
GAUGAACGCUGGCGGCGUGCUUAACACAUGCAAGUCGAACGGAAAGGCCCAAGCUUGCUUGGGUACUCGAGUGGCGAACGGGUGAGUAACACGUGGGUGAUCUGCCCUGCACUUCGGGAUAAGCCUGGGAAACUGGGUCUAAUACCGGAUAGGACGAUGGUUUGGAUGCCAUUGUGGAAAGUUUUUUCGGUGUGGGAUGAGCUCGCGGCCUAUCAGCUUGUUGGUGGGGUAAUGGCCUACCAAGGCGUCGACGGGUAGCCGGCCUGAGAGGGUGUACGGCCACAUUGGGACUGAGAGACGGCCCAGACUCCUACGGGAGGCAGCAGUGGGGAAUAUUGCACAAUGGGCGCAAGCCUGAUGCAGCGACGCCGCGUGGGGGAUGACGGCCUUCGGGUUGUAAACUCCUUUCGCUAGGGACGAAGCGUUUUUGUGACGGUACCUGGAGAAGAAGCACCGGCUAACUACGUG